GGAGAAUUAGCUCAGCUGGUAGAGCAUCUGCCUUACAAGCAGAGGGUCGGCGGUUCGUGCCCGUGAUUUCUCCCCA
rnacentral:tRNA from 1 species